CUUCUUCUUCUUUGAGCAUGAUUCAUUCAAACUUUUUGUUGGUGUGUAAUGUCCAGCAAGCAACUCGAUUUCUUUGGUGUGUAAUAUAUAGAGGAUCGACGGUGAAUCAGAAGCCAUUUUGCAACUUCUGUGUGACCUUUCAACCCCCAUCCUUUGUUCAGUGAGCUUCACAGCCAUUAAGGCAAAGCUGAUCCUUUUUUUACUAGCCUUACUAAGUGUCGAUGUUUGGGAAGACCUCCUCAAGAACCAAUCUGGUGGAAACCAAGGAGUCGCAAAGGCAAGUGAAUGACCUUAUGGAGAAAGGGCAUAUCAGAGGGAGCAUGAGCCCUUGUGUCCUUUUCGUGUUGUUGGUACUUAAGAAAGACAGUAGCUGGCGAAUGUACAUUGAUUGUAGAGGAAUCAACAAUAUCACAGUUAUGUACCGACAUCCCAUUCCUAGAUUACAUGAUAUGCUUAAUGAAUUGCAUGAUUCUAGCAUCUUUCCUAAAAUUGAUCUUAAGAGUGGAUAUCAUCAGAUUACAAUGAAAGUAAGGGAUGAGUGGAAAACAACAUUUAAGACGAAGCAUAGUCUUUACAAGUGUUAGUUAAGCCAUUUGUACUAACAAAUGCACAUAGUACGUUCAUGAGGUUAAUGAAACAUGUACUUAGAGAUUUUAUAGUUGUUUUGUAGUAGUCUACUUUGAUGACAUUCUGAUUUAUAUCAAGAACCUAGAAAAGCAUGUUAGUCACUUGAAAUAUGUUCUAGAUGUGCUUAGGAAAGAAAAGCUAUUUGCUAAUUUUUAAAAUGCACGUUUUGUACAAACAAUUUUGUCUUCCUAGGUUUUUUGUAAGUGCGAAUGGAAUCAAGGUCGACAAAGAAAAGGUCAAGGCUAUUAAAGAUUGGCCGAGUCCCAAACAGUUUGGUGAGGUGAGGAGCUUCCACGGCCUAGUCGGGUUUUAUAGACACUUUGUUAAAGAUUUUAGUACCCUGGUUGCACCUCUAACUGAAGUUGUCAAGAAAGACAUGAGAUUCGAUUAGGGAGAAGGACAAGAAGAGGUGUUUCAAACCUUGAAAAAUAAGCUAAUCAACGCACCUCUAUCAGUCUUACCUGAUUUUUUGAAAACCUUUGAAAUAGAGUGUGAUGCAUCUGCUAUAGGAAUUGGAUCUGUUUUGAUGAAGGAUAAUAAGCCCAUUGCAUACUUUAAUGAAAAACGCGGAGGAGCUACUCUAAACUACCUAAUGUAUGACAAGGAGCUGUAUGCUUUAGUCCGGGCUUUGCAACAUGGCAACAUUACUUAUGGUUUAAGGAGUUUUUCAUUCAUACUGAUCAUGAGUCUCUCAAGCAUCUAAAAGGACAACAAAAUCUCAUCAAAAAACAUGCCAGGUGGGUCAAAUUCACUGAGACAUUUCCCAAUGUCAUCAAGUAUAAACAAGGUAAGGAAAAUGUAGUUGUUGAUGCAUUUUCUUAUAGGUAGGCCUUGCUCUCUAUUCUUGAUGCUAAGUUUUCGGUUUUGAACAGCGUAAACAAAUAUAUGUAUCUGAUUCUGACUUUAAAGAUGUAUAUUAAUUUUAUGAAAAGUUUGCUAAGGAUAAUAAUAUGGAUCUCUCUUUUAUUACAAUCGCUUGUGCAUGCCUUAUCGUUCUAAUCGAAACUUGCUUGUUAGAGAAGCUCAAAGGGGUGAACUAAUGAGACACCUUGGAAUUAUUAAGACCCUUAAAGUAAUUCAAGAUCACUUCCUGGCCACAGAUGAAGAGGCACAUGGAGAGGAUAUGUCAAAGAUGUGCUACAUGCAAACAUGCAAAGUCUAAAGUUCAACCUCACAGUUUGUAUACUCUAUUACCUAUUCCUAAUCAUCCUUGAACUGAGAUCUCUAUUGAUUUUGUUCUUGGACUAGGAUAAGUAAGGAUUCUAUCUUCGUAGUGGUAUAUAGAUUUUCUAAAAUGGCACAUUUCAUACCAUGUAACAAAACCGAUGAUGCAUCACAUGUAGCUAAUCUGUUCUUCAAGGAGAUUGUCUAUUUGCAUGGCAUGCAAAGGACCAUUGUGACUGAUAGAGAUACAAAGUUUUUAAGUUUCUUUUGGAAAGCAUUGUGGUCUAACCAAGGAACUAAGAUUUUUAUUUUCUACUACAUGUCAUCUGCAUAAUGAUGGGCAAACAGAAGUGGUUUAAGGAACCUUGUCUACAUUGUAGCGUGCAUUAAUUGAGAAGAACCUUAAUUCUUGAGAAGAUUGCUUACCUCAUGUAGAAUUUGCAUAUAACAAUUUUGUUCACUCUGCUUCGAAGUUUUCUCCAAUACAGAUUAUUUAUGGUUUUAACCUUUCAUCUUCUUUGGAUCUAGCCCCUUGGCCUCUAAGUGAAAAGGUAAAUUUAGAUGGGUAAAAUAAGGCUGAGCUUGUUGAACAGAUCCAUGAGAAGGCUAAAAAAAACAAAGAAGAGAAGAUGAAGCAAUAUGUUAGACAAGCCAACAAGGGCCGCCGCAAGAUGAUCUUUAAGGUUGGAGAUCUCGUGUGGGUACGUUUGAGAAAAGAUAGGUUCCCAGUAGAACGAAUCUCUAAACACAUGCCUAGAAUUGAUGGUCCUUUCGAAGUCAUAAAAAUAAUCAGCGUUGAUGUACAAGGUAAAUAUAACAUGAGUCCGAGUUUUAAUGUUGCUGAUUUAGUUCUAUUUCUUGCAAAUGAUCCAGAUUCAACACAUGGUAUUUUCAAAUAUAUGGUAAGUAGUUGAUAUCUCAACAGAGCAAUGGAAAGACAAGAUCUCUUGAUGUAUUGGAUAUGGACGACCACAAGAGCAUUCCUCAAGAUCUAAAACCUCAACAAAUGCCAUAACUUCAAGCAUUGGCUUUAAGUCCAGCCCAAGCUCCAAAGAAUAAGCCAACCAUUGCAAAUUUUGACACUCCUUGUUGUCGUGGAAUGAGAUAUGGUUAGAUUGUUUCAAAACUCUAAGUUCUUGUGGUUAGGAAUGGAGAAUCCAUAUGACCAUUUGGACUCUUUUGAGAGGUUGUGUGACACAUUUAGGAUUGGAGGAGGGCCCCAAGAUAGUAUCAAGCUCAUCUUGUUCCCAUUUUCACUUGGAGAAAAUACAUGCGCAUGGGAGAUAUCACUACCAUCUCACUUAGUCAAGUCGUGGGAUAAUUGCAAGAGGAUGUUUCUUUUAAAGUUCUAUCCCAUACAAUGAACGGUCCAAACUAGUAGAAACAUCUUGAGCUUCAAAACAAGGCAUCUAUGUGACCUUUCAUGAGGCAUGGGACAGACUUAAAGGAUAUACUAGCGAUUGUCCUCAUCAUGGGUUCAACAAGAAGCUAUCCUUAGUAUAUUGUAUUGGGGAGUUGAUAGAGAGCAUAAAUGGACAUUGGAUGUAGCUAGCAAUGGGCGUUUUGCAAAUCUCACGAUAGCACAAGGACAACUACAUGUUGAGAAUUUGGCCAAGAGUAAUAAAAGAUACAAGGAUCAUGAUAUUGAAGCUUGUCAAGAUGAUCAAGGUGAGGUGGAGCUUUGUUUUCAGCAAGAGUUUGUUCCACAAGGCCAAGUAGGUUCUUCAAAGCCUAAAGAGAUGGAAUUGAACAAAUUUUUCCAACAAAUAGACAAGAUGAGAUUAAUACAAGAGUAAAGAGUUCUUACAAAGAUCUCCACACAAAGCAUGAAUUCAUGUCUUCUAAGGUCAAACACUUGGAGAAACAAGGUUCUAAAGAAAGUUCCCUCACUAGUGAACCCAUACUAAAGGGCAAGGAACUAAAGGAUUAUUGUAAUGCUAACUUCUCAAGUAAGGUGCAUUUGUUUGAUGAGAAUGAGGAAGCUAUAAUAGAGGUUGAGAGACUUCUCCAUGGCACCAAAGAUGAGAUUCACCACUUUGAGAUGAAGUAUGUGGGAUCUUGUGAAAUGAAGGAAAGAGGAUCAGCCUCUUGAAGCUUGUGAAAAAAAAAGAAAGAACCUGAAGUAUAGCCUGAUCUUGAGUUCAUUGAUGGUUAGAAAUUCUUUAGUGAUGAUGAGGAUUGAUUGGAACUUCAAUAUUCUACACCAUAAAGAAAGAAGUUUCUUGCAAAGUGGUCCAAUAGAGAGGUGGAGGUCCUAAAGCUAAGAAGAAACCGAGCAAGGCCAAUAAGGAAAAAAAAUUUCUUGACCAAUCUUCCACUAUCAUUCUCAUUCCAUUAACUCAUCAAGAUGGAGUGAUUGAGUAUAAGAUUCAGUGUAGAGGAAGGUCUAAGCCAUUUGCAAAGGUCAAAGCAAUUCUCACUCAAGAACUCAAGGACAAAGGUGAAAAUGGUAUUGAGGAGCUUAUGAGCAAGGCAAUGAGGCUUGAGUUCAAGGAAAUCCAGGGAGUUCCACUACUCUCUCUCUCUCAUUAAAAGGAAGGUAUGAAAAGUCAAAAUUAGUGACUUAAAACAAAGUGUACUUGGAAGACAGUCCCAUGUCUAUCAUUGUAUAUACUUUCUCUUAUUGCUUUCUAGUUAAAUGUUAUGUUUUGGGGAGUCUUGAUCUUUUUGUUGAUUGUGUGCAAGGGGAUUUGAUGGUCUAAGAUUUAACACGUGGUAGAGGAAAACCAAGGCCGUGCACAACUGAUCUGUGGUGAUGCUAAGAUCCUUUGAUGCAUAGACAUCACUCCUCCUCUCCAUUAAACACUCAAGGUAACACUUUAAGACUUAUGUAUAGCAUUUAGUCUCAUUUUCUUUAGAAUUUUGUUUUUCCUCUUUCUCAUGCUUCUAUUACACAAGAGACUCUGUAAUUUGAGUGUGGGGGAGGGAUUUAGUGUUAUAUAACCAUGUUUCUUUGUGUUCUUAUUUUAUAUUCAACAUUUUGAGUCUCAUGCAUUCAUUCAUUAUACAGAAAAGAUAAAAAUUGGUAAUUUUUAAAGUUUUUUAUCAAAAAAAGAAGCAUACAGAUGCAUUUGCAUACUUAGGAUUGAGUAUAGAAUGCAUUUCAUAUAGGUUUUCAUCAUGCAUUGGGAAUAAUGGUUGAUUUUUCCUUGUAGAAUAUCAUUUUACGAAUUUGGUUCAGUGUCCUAGUUAUUAGUUGUUGAUGCAUCUAAUUGAGUUUCAAAUCAAGGAUGAACCCUAUUUGGAUCUUGUGUUUGACUUUUCUUGUCUUAGUUGAAUCAUGUUGUGAUUAGUUCCAAUCCUACUUAAGUGAAAACCUUUAAUUUGUCAUCUUAAUUAUCAGGUUUAUGCAUUUCAUAGUGAAUUCAUGGAUACCAUAUACAUAUUUGGGCUAUCUUCAUCUUGUUACAACUCUUUGUUAGCUCAAAUAGCCAAUUCCCAUCAUUGGAAUGGUUAACAACACCUUAAACCAAUCCUCCUUUCAAGCCACGAUUAGUGAGUCCAUGUAAGGCCUUAUUUUCAAGUAGAGUUGGCAAAACGUGUUGGGUCUAGAGCGAUAAAGGUUUUACAUGUAGGUUCUAGUCCAUCAUCAAUGGCUAGAUUAGGUUAGGCUAUGGGUUGGGAAGUUGUGGUUUAUGAGAAAAAUUGAUGGAGUGUGGUGUGAAAGAGAAAGAUGGGAUUGAAGUAGGGGAAUGAAUCCAAAAGAAAAAAAAUUUUGAGUUAGCAAGUGUUAAAAAAAGCUAUAAGUAUAAUAGCUAGUCUCUCGAGUUAACAAAAAGUAAAGAAAAGAAAAAGAAAGAGACUAGAAGAGUAAAUAAAAGAAAAGAGUUAAGUGUGUAAAGAAAAAGAACCUCUCAAAGUGUUAUGUGCAAGAAGAGCAUUCCCUUAAGGCCUUAGAGAUAAGAAAACAACAAAGGUUGGUUUUUAUCAAGGUAAAAAUGCCUUUGAGAAAGGGUAGCUUAGGAGAAGAAACUUCAUGGCUAGGUUUUUAAAGCAAAUGGGGUAUUGAGUCGAUGUAGGUCUAUCUUUGUAUGCAUCCAUUGCUUUUUACCCUUAGCAUUUUGCUAAAGUCUACUUCUUCUUGAGUGAUCCCUAGCUUGGAGCAACCAGUUACUUGUAUUGGGAUCAUCUUAGUCUCAAGACCAUGUCCCUAGCCAAAUGAAUUCAUUUGUCUUGCAUGAACAUGAUUCACUUGAAAACCUUUAUGAAUUUUAAUGGGUUGGGACUAGGCAUGCUUGUCUAGGCUAAUACUUGAGCUUGAUGCAUUUAUUGAUGGAUAUGGCUAGUUUCUUUUAAGUAGACUCACUUGUUUGCAUCCUAGAACUAGUAAAUUUGGACAUUGAACUUUGAAUUCUUUUAUUGAUAUUUAUGGAUAUGAGUUCACCUUUCAAACCUCUUUAUCACCUUGUUCUUGUUUGUUUUCUUGAUGAAAAGCAAAGGAUAAGUGUGGGGGAGUUGUGGAUAAAAUUUAUCAUGUUUUAUCAUUCAUUUUAGUAUAGUUUUAUGUCUAGUCCAUUCAUUUGAAAGCAUUUCUUAAUAUUUUAAUGUUAAUUGAGUUUAGAUAGGAAUGCAUUAGGUCCAAGUGUGUCUUUGCAUGUUUUGGAUUCAUUCUAGGUACUUUUGGAGAUUUAGAGUGCAUUUGGGCUUGAGAACACUUGAAGAAAUGGUGAAAAAAAUAUGAAGAAUCAGCCAAAACGUGCUCUCGGCAAAUUUCCUUUCCGGAAAAAAGUUUCCAUGGCGAAAACUGCAUCAGGCAUGUACCGCUCGGCCAAAAACCCUUCGCAAAAACACCAGUAUAUGAUUCUCUCGGCCAAAUCUUACACCAGCCGAUGUAUCUAAAAGUUCAUCUGAAACAGGCCCUUUUUACUAUGACUCAGCUUCGACGAUCUUCAUGGAAGUUGAAGGCCAGAGAGUCAUCUUUCCAAUUAAGUUGGUCUCAUGACGUUUGGAGCCUUAGAACGAAAGUUACAGCCGUUGCCGAACACAUAUGUCCUAUCGGUCCGAUUCCGUGCACAAUUUUAUAGUUUGUCAAUUACAUACAAAAAAAUCAAAGUCCAAUAAAUCUAUUUACUGUACCUGCUCCACAAGGUAUAUAUGUACUUUAUCAAAAGUUUUAUUUCUAAAAUUGUAUAUUAUUCAUUUUUAAGGUGAUUUAAUUUUGUUUUGUUUUUAUUUUUUUAUCAAAUAUAAACGCUCAUAUAUAUGUGGUCCUAAUCUAGUUUAUAAUAAUCCUUUGUCAUAAAAUUAAAUCUUUUAAUAAUUUCUCUAAAUAUAUAAAUAAUUGGAAAAAUGUGUUAUUUAAUCUGAUGUACAGACCUUCAAAAUUAUUUAAUCUCAUUGUUAGGAGAAACCAAUAUUGUACACUGUUAAAACUGUAGAUAUUUUGGUAAAAAUUGCAGUAAACCCGAGACAAAGAGGCACGAACAAAGGAGUGAAAAAAAGGAGGGGACAUGUGAUGCGAUAUAGCGAUGGGUCAUCGAGGGAAUCUUGUAUUCUUAUGAUAAUUGCCAACCAUGCUUAUUUUGGGUCUUCUCUUCUUAUUGCAGAAGUAGCCCCCAUGUUCACGUGAUCCCUUCUUCCCAUUCUUGCUCUAUAUAUUCAUAUACCCUUUCUUAUAUUUCCUCCACGUACACUUCUCAACAUGGACUCAUCCAAACUCUCAUUGCUCUCUCUCUGUCUCCUCAUUUGCAUUAUCUGUUCUCCCCAACACUCACUCUCAUGCGGUUCCUGCAACCACCAGAAGGGCGGAUUACCCUCAAUUAAACCCCCUGUCACCAUUCCCAAGCUUCCUGUUCCUCCGGUUACUGUUCCUAAGGUACCCGUUCCUCCAGUAACUGUCCCUAAUCUACCCGUUCCUCCUGUAACUGUUCCAAAGCUACCUAUUCCUCCGGUGACCGUACCUAAACUUCCAGUUACCGUACCUAAACUCCCAGUUCCUCCGGUGACAGUCCCUAAGCUACCCAUUCCGCCAGUGGCCAUUCCAAAGGUACCCGUUCCUCCAGUUACUGUCCCAAAGGUACCUGUUCCUCCUGUGACUGUCCCUGAGCUUCCACUUCCUCCAGUGGGCGGGCUACCCACAUUGCCACUACCACCAUUAC
rnacentral:lncRNA from 1 species